rnacentral:rRNA from 1 species
ACCCGUGAUCCGGGUUGCGGACAGUGUCUGGUGGGUAGUUUGACUGGGGCGGUCUCCUCCUAAAGAGUAACGGAGGAGCACGAAGGUUGGCUAAUCCUGGUCGGACAUCAGGAGGUUAGUGCAAUGGCAUAAGCCAGCUUGACUGCGAGCGUGACGGCGCGAGCAGGUGCGAAAGCAGGUCAUAGUGAUCCGGUGGUUCUGAAUGGAAGGGCCAUCGCUCAACGGAUAAAAGGUACUCCGGGGAUAACAGGCUGAUACCGCCCAAGAGUUCAUAUCGACGGCGGUGUUUGGCACCUCGAUGUCGGCUCAUCACAUCCUGGGGCUGAAGUAGGUCCCAAGGGUAUGGCUGUUCGCCAUUUAAAGUGGUACGCGAGCUGGGUUUAGAACGUCGUGAGACAGUUCGGUCCCUAUCUGCCGUGGGCGCUGGAGAACUGAGGGGGGCUGCUCCUAGUACGAGAGGACCGGAGUGGACGCAUCACUGGUGUUCGGGUUGUCAUGCCAAUGGCACUGCCCGGUAGCUAAAUGCGGAAGAGAUAAGUGCUGAAAGCAUCUAAGCACGAAACUUGCCCCGAGAUGAGUUCUCCCUGAGACUUAGAGUCUCCUGAAGGAACGUUGAAGACGACGACGUUGAUAGGCCGGGUGUGUAAGCGCAGCGAUGCGUUGAGCUAACCGGUACUAAUGAACCGUGAGGCUUAACCUUA